CUGCUGCCUCCCGUAGGAGUCUGGUCCGUGUCUCAGUACCAGUGUGGGGGACCUUCCUCUCAGAACCCCUGCGCAUCGUCGGUUAGGUGGGCCGUUACCCCGCCUACUGCCUAAUGCGCCGCAUGCCCAUCCCUGUCCGGCCGAAGCCUUUCCUGCCUCCGGGAUGCCCCGGUGGCAUGUACGCGGGUUUAGCCCGCCUUUCGGCGGGUUGUCCCCCUGACAGGGGCAGGUUGCAUACGUGUUACUCACCCGUGCGCCGGUCGCCGGCGGAG
rnacentral:rRNA from 1 species